CGAGAAAGCGUUGCCGCAGGCAACGACCCGAAGGGUGAGGAGCGGAGCGACGAAUAAUCCUUCCCCCACCACCA
rnacentral:sRNA from 1 species